rnacentral:rRNA from 1 species
UACGGAGGAUGCAAGCGUUAUCCGGAAUUAUUGGGCGUAAAGCGUCCGCAGGUGGUUUAUCAAGUCUGCUGUCAAAGCGCGAGGCUUAACUUCGUAAAGGCAGUGGAAACUGAUAGACUGGAGUGCGGUAGGGGCAGAGGGAAUUCCCAGUGUAGCGGUGAAAUGCGUAGAUAUCAGGAAGAACACCCGUGGCGAAGGCGGCUCUCUGGGACGGUACUGACGCUGAGACGCGAAAGCGUGGGGAGCGAACAGG